CUUUACAUACGCCGCACGCUUGCCAAAUUCUCAGCAUUUACUGAGGGCAUCCUUAUCCUGGGAGGGGAUUUCAACAUCCCAGCAGUAUACCCCAAACCGCAAUCCUUGGAAUUCAUAAAGCAUAGUUUAUGCUUGGUUGACUGCUGGAGGACCUUACAUCUUACGGAUAAGGAUUACUCUCUCUACGAUCCAUGGUAGAUAUUCUCGUUCAGACUACAUUUUCAUCUAACAAGAGGGACUUAACAGUUUACAAACGGCUGAUAUUGACGCAUCUACGUGGUGGGAUCAUAG